GGGGAAUAUUGGACAAUGGGGGCAACCCUGAUCCAGCCAUGCCGCGUGUGUGAAGAAGGCCUUUUGGUUGUAAAGCACUUUAAGCAGUGAAGAAGACUCCGUGGUUAAUACCCACGGACGAUGACAUUAGCUGCAGAAUAAGCACCGGCUAACUCUGUGCCAGCAGCCGCGGUAAUACAGAGGGUGCAAGCGUUAAUCGGAAUUACUGGGCGCAAAGCGAGCGUAGGUGGCUUGAUAAGUCAGAUGUGAAAUCCCCGGGCUUAACCUGGGAACUGCAUCUGAUACUGUUAGGCUAGAAUAGGUGGGAGGAAGGUAGAAUUCCAGGUGUAGCGGUGAAAUGCGUAGAGAUCUGGAGGAAUACCGAUGGCGAAGGCAGCCUUCUGGCAUCAUAGUGACACUGAGGUUCGAAAGCGUGGGUAGCAAAC
rnacentral:rRNA from 1 species